rnacentral:rRNA from 1 species
UACGUAAGUGGCGAGCGUUAUCCGGAAUUACUGGGCGUAAAGCGCACGUAGGCGGCUUUGUAAGUUAGAGGUGAAAGCCCGGGGCUCAACUCCGGAAUUGCCUUUAAGACUGCAUCGCUAGAAUUGUGGAGAGGUAAGUGGAAUUCCGAGUGUAGAGGUGAAAUUCGUAGAUAUUCGGAAGAACACCAGUGGCGAAGGCGACUUACUGGACACAUAUUGACGCUGAGGUGCGAAAGCGUGGGGAGCAAACAGG